CACCGAUUCCUACUAUUACAGGUGUAUAAAUUCCAAUUGUCAAGCUAAUGACGUUAAACAAGCGCUGCUUAUGAGGCAACCCAUGGUUUUUUAUUUUAUUUUACUUUUUUGCAUUUAUUUAUUUUAUUUUAUUUUACUUUUAUAAUAUUUUCACGAGGACUAAGUAUUUGAAUGGUUUGUAUUUUCAGGAUCCCUUUUCCUAACUUUUAC
rnacentral:lncRNA from 1 species